AUUGAACGCUGGCGGCAGGCCUAACACAUGCAAGUCGAGCGGAGCGGCUGACGGGUGAGUAAUGCCUAGGAUUCCGCCUGGUAGUGGGGGAUAACGUCCGGAAACGAGCGCUAAUACCGCAUACUAUCAGAUGAGCCUAAGUCGGAUUAGCUAGACGGUGGGGUAAUGGCCUACCAAGGCGACGAACCGUAACUGGGCUGAGAGGAUGAUCAGUCAAACUGGAACGGAGACACGGUCCAGACUCCUACGGGAGGCAGCAGUGGGGAAUAUUGGAAAAUGGGCGAAAGCCUGAUGCAGCCAUGCCGCGUGUGUGAAGAAGGUCUUCGGAUUGUAAGGCACUUUAAGUUGGAAGACGUUACCAACAGAAUAAGCACCGGCUAACUUCGUGCCAGCCGCCGCGGUAAUAC
rnacentral:rRNA from 1 species